CCUACGGGAGGCUGCAGUGAGGAAUAUUGGUCAAUGGACGAGAGUCUGAACCAGCCAGGUAGCGUGAAGGAUGACUGCCCUAUGGGUUGUACACUUCUUUUAUAUGGGAAUAAAAUGUUCCACGUGUGGGAGUUUGUAUGUACCAUAUGAAUAAGGAUCGGCUAACUCCGUGCCAGCAGCCGCGGUAAUACGGAGGAUCCGAGCGUUAUCCGGAUUUAUUGGGUUUAAAGGGAGCGUAGGUGGAUUGUUAAGUCAGUUGUGAAAGUUUGCGGCUCAACCGUAAAAUUGCAGUUGAAACUGGCAGUCUUGAGUACAGUAGAGGUGGGCGGAAUUCGUGGUGUAGCGGUGAAAUGCUUAGAUAUCACGAAGAACUCCGAUUGCGAAGGCAGCUCACUGGACUGCAACUGACACUGAGGCUCGAAAGUGUGGGUAUCAAACAGGAUUAGAUACCCCAGUAGUC
rnacentral:rRNA from 1 species